GACAAGAGCAUACAAGAAUUCAAAAUAGUAAUAUAAAGCUCAAUUGAAUAAGAAAGCUAAAGGAUAUCAAUUUCCAAAGGAAUGAAACCAGAAUAUGUAAAAUCGACCAAAGCUCGAUUUCUGGCAGAAUUCAGAAGACACAUUGAAUAAAUGAUUCAAACUAUCAAUCGUGCUCCAAUAUACUCAAGAAAUAUAUUGUGGAAAGAUAUUUCAAUCUAGUUUCUGAUGAAACAAGUUUAAUAUGAAUUGAAUUGUCCAACAGAGAGAGUUACAAAUAAUUUGGUAAACAAGGGUCGCAGAACAAAAUCUCUGUUUGGCAGAAUUCAUAAGGUCAGAUUCAACAGAUAACUGGGCAGGUGUUUGGACUCCAAAUCUUUCAAUCCAUAUAUCAAAAGAAAGAUCUACGAGUCUAGUUUCCAAUGAAAUCAGUUUUGAACAAAUCGGAGUUUCCAACAAAGACUUAUAGGCAGCUCGGUAUCAAAAGGUCAGAAUCUCAAAAGUUGCACAGAAUCGAAUCGUUACAUCUAAACAGGAGAUAUAUCAAAUGCAAGGCUAGAACAAUUCAAAGUUCCUUAUAUUCAAAGCAAAUGUAGAGAUAAAAUUACAGUAAGGAAAGAUCGGGACACUUGCAAUAGGAAAGAAUUGAAAGCUUGCAAUAGGAAGGAU
rnacentral:lncRNA from 1 species